GACGAACCGUGCGAGCGUUAUUCGGAAUCAUUGGGCUUAAAGGGCGCGUAGGCGGCUUGGUCAGUCCCGUGUGAAAUCCCUCGGCUCAACUGAGGAACUGCACGGGAAACUGCCUGGCUUGAGUUCGGGAGAGGGAAGCGGAAUUCCGGGUGUAGCGGUGAAAUGCGUAGAUAUCCGGAGGAACACCGGUGGCGAAGGCGGCUUCCUGGACCGACACUGACGCUGAGGCGCGAAAGCGUGGGGAGCAAACAGG
rnacentral:rRNA from 1 species